rnacentral:ncRNA from 1 species
UUAAAGUUUUAUUCUUGCUUAGAAAUUCACUUUUUAUUUGUAUUAUAUGUAAAUUUUGUUAAACUUAAUGUUUUAUUUUGCAGUAAUUUAAUUUAGUUAUCAAGUGAUUUUGGAACUAGCAAUUUAUCAAGUAUCGGCAUAGUUCGUGCCAGCAGCCGCGGUUAUACGAUUGAUGCAAGUGAAUAUUUUUGGUUUAAGCAGUUGUUUAUAUUGAUAUUGGGUUUUAAUAUGAUUUUAAUAAGUGAAAUUUGAAAAUCUUUUAUAAUUCUUUUUAUGAAACUGUGAAAUUUAAAUUUUAAACUAGGAUUAGAUACCCUAUUAUUUUAAAUGUUAAUUUUAAUUACCAGGGUAUUAAUAGUUAAGGUCUUUAAACCCAAAGAAUUUGGCGGUAUCUUAUUCCAUUCAGAGGAACCUACCCCRUAAUUGAUAGUGCACGRUUAAAUUUACUUAAUCUAUUWGUUUGUAUAUCUCCGUUAUCAGAAAAUCUUUUUAGAGUUUUAAUUUUCUAAAUAUAUAAUUGUAGAAUAUUUCAGGUCAAGGUGCAGCUUAUGAUUAAGAGGAGGUGGGUUACAAUAAAUUUUUAUUUAUACGGAUUUUUUGAUGGAACUAUUUAUUAAGGUGGAUUUGAUGGUAAUUUUAWCUAUUUAGGUUAAUUGAUAUUGGCUCUGAGGUGUGUACACAUCGCCCGUCGCUCUCAUUAUUGAUUUACUUGUUUUAAUAUAUUUAAUUAUGGUUUCAAUUUAGAUGAGAUAAGUCGUAACAUAGUAGAUGUACUGGAAAGUGUAUCUAGUAAGGAUUUAAU